rnacentral:rRNA from 1 species
GACGAACGCUGGCGGCGUGCCUAAUACAUGCAAGUAGAACGCUGAAGGAGGAGCUUGCUUCUCUGGAUGAGUUGCGAACGGGUGAGUAACGCGUAGGUAACCUGCCUGGUAGCCGGGGAUAACUAUUGGAAACGAUAGCUAAUACCGCAUAAGAGUAGAUGUUGCAUGACAUUUGCUUAAAAGGUGCAAUUGCAUCACUACCAGAUGGACCUGCGUUGUAUUAGCUAGUUGGUGGGGUAACGGCUCACCAAGGCGACGAUACAUAGCCGACCUGAGAGGGUGAUCGGCCACACUGGGACUGAGACACGGCCCAGACUCCUACGGGAGGCAGCAGUAGGGAAUCUUCGGCAAUGGACGGAAGUCUGACCGAGCAACGCCGCGUGAGUGAAGAAGGUUUUCGGAUCGUAAAGCUCUGUUGUAAGAGAAGAACGAGUGUGAGAGUGGAAAGUUCACACUGUGACGGUAUCUUACCAGAAAGGGACGGCUAACUACGUG